rnacentral:rRNA from 1 species
GAUGAACGCUAGCGGCAGGCCUAACACAUGCAAGUCGAGGGGCAGCACAGAAACAGCAAUGUUUUGGUGGCGACCGGCGGACGGGUGCGUAACGCGUAUGCAACCUACCUUUAACAGGGGGAUAACGGAGAGAAAUUUCCACUAAUACCCCAUAACAUCGAUCAAGGCAUCUUGAUUGGUUGAAAACUCCGGUGGUUAAAGAUGGGCAUGCGUCGUAUUAGGUAGUUGGUGAGGUAAUGGCUCACCAAGCCUACGAUACAUAGGGGGACUGAGAGGUUAGCCCCCCACACUGGAACUGAGACACGGACCAGACUCCUACGGGAGGCAGCAGUGAGGAAUAUUGGUCAAUGGGGGCAACCCUGAACCAGCCAUGCCGCGUGCGGGAAGACGGCUCUAUGAGUUGUAAACUGCUUUUAAACAGGGAUAAAGCACAGUAUGUAUACUGUGUUGAAGGUACUGUAAGAAUAAGGAUCGGCUAACUCCGUGCCAGCCGCCGCGGUAA